rnacentral:misc_RNA from 1 species
CGGUGCUUUCCCAAAACUCCGUGUAAUCUCGCUUCCCCUUUUCAUUCUCUUCAUCGCAACUUUAUCGCGAUCAAGAAGUUUCUAUGUUUGUACGAAAGAUCAAGGAGCAUUUACACAUCGGUUAUAUAAAAUUGAAAGACGAUAUAAUGCGAUAGGUUCAACACCAUCAACACGCUUGAUCGAACGAAAAUAGACAAGGAUGUUGUUCGUCAGACAAAUAUCUAUAUUCAGAUACUUAUAUCAUGAGUACAUCAAUGCACCAUAUCGGACAUUACGUAUAUUCUACGAGAAACUGGGUAGACGAUUCAAUGCAUUGAGUUUCUGAAUAACAUACAAGGUAAAAGAGCGGACCACAAAGAAAAAUCUGAAAUUCAUCAAUUGGCUGUCCGUAGCAAAUGGAAAAUUACUCUGUCGUUUAUAGGUUUUCGUGGUCAAGUGGCUACAAAAGUUA